UAGCUCAGAUGGUAGAGCGACAGACUCUUAAUCUGUUGGUCGUGGGUUCGAUCCCCA
rnacentral:tRNA from 1 species